AGAGUUUGAUCCUGGCUCAGGACGAACGCUGGCGGCGUGCUUAACACAUGCAAGUCGAACGGGAACCUUUAUUUCGGUAAAGGUGAGAGUGGCAAACGGGUGAGUAACACGUAGGCAACCUGCCGACAGGAUGGGGACAACAUUCCGAAAGGAAUGCUAAUACCGAAUGGAGUCCGGGGAUGGCAUCAUCCACGGAUAAAAGAUGGCCUCUGAAUAUGCUAUCGCCUGUCGAUGGGCCUGCGUCUGAUUAGCCAGUUGGCGGGGUAACGGCCCACCAAAGCGACGAUCAGUAGCCGGUCUGAGAGGAUGAACGGCCACAUUGGGACUGAGACACGGCCCAGACUCCUACGGGAGGCAGCAGUGGGGAAUCUUCCACAAUGGGCGAAAGCCUGAUGGAGCAACGCCGCGUGAGUGAAGAAGGUCUUCGGAUCGUAAAGCUCUGUUGCACGGGACGAAAACCGAGCUUGAGAAUAUUGAGUUUGGGUGACGGUACCGAGCGAGGAAGCCACGGCUAACUACGUGCCAGCAGCCGCGGUAAUACGUAGGUGGCGAGCGUUGUCCGGAAUUAUUGGGCGUAAAGGGAGCGCAGGCGGACAUAUAAGUCCAUCUUAAAAGUGCGGGGCUCAACCCCGUGAGGGGAUGGAAACUGUAUGCCUUGAGUGCAGGAGAGGAAAGCGGAAUUCCCAGUGUAGCGGUGAAAUGCGUAGAUAUUGGGAGGAACACCAGUGGCGAAGGCGGCUUUCUGGACUGUAACUGACGCUGAGGCUCGAAAGCCAGGGGAGCGAACGGGAUUAGAUACCCCGGUAGUCCUGGCCGUAAACGAUGAAUGCUAGGUGUAGGAGGUAUCGACCCCUCCUGUGCCGGAGUUAACGCAAUAAGUACCCCGCCUGGGGAGUACGACCGCAAGGUUGAAACUCAAAGGAAUUGACGGGGGCCCGCACAAGCGGUGGAGUAUGUGGUUUAAUUCGACGCAACGCGAAGAACCUUACCAGGUCUUGACAUUGAUGGACAGAACCAGAGAUGGUUCCUCUUCUUCGGAAGCCAGAAAACAGGUGGUGCACGGUUGUCGUCAGCUCGUGUCGUGAGAUGUUGGGUUAAGUCCCGCAACGAGCGCAACCCUUGUCCCGUGUUGCCAGCACGUUGUGGUGGGGACUCGCGGGAGACUGCCGGGGUCAACUCGGAGGAAGGUGGGGAUGACGUCAAAUCAUCAUGCCCCUUAUGUCUUGGGCUUCACGCAUGCUACAAUGGCCGGUACAGAGGGCUGCGAUACCGUGAGGUGGAGCGAAUCCCUUAAAGCCGGUCUCAGUUCGGAUCGGUGUCUGCAACCCGACCCCACGAAGCUGGAUUCGCUAGUAAUCGCGCAUCAGCCAUGGCGCGGUGAAUACGUUCCCGGGCCUUGUACACACCGCCCGUCAAGCCAUGAAAGCCGGGGGUGCCUGAAGUCCGUGACCGCAAGGAUCGGCCUAGGGCAAAACUGGUGAUUGGGGCUAAGUCGUAACAAGGUAACC
rnacentral:rRNA from 1 species